AGUAGCGCUGUGGUUCAGGUGGGCGAGUGCUAGCCCUGAGCACAAAGAGCUCAGGGACAGCGCCCAGGACCUGAGUUCAAGCCUCAUAACUAACAACAACCUGCGUCGCUUCUGAAUGGCUAUUUUCACUCUGUCCAUUUGUAGCACUGGGUAUUCCAAAUGCUCUUGCCUGAAUCCAAGAGGACCUUGAGGGCAUAGUUAAGAGGAAGGCUAUUCGUGUGUAUUGGCUUGUUCUAACCCAG